GGGCCCGCACAAGCGGUGGAGUAUGUGGUUUAAUUCGAUGCAACGCGAAGAACCUUACCAGGGUUUGACAUCCUGCGAAUCUCUUGGAAACAGGAGAGUGCCUUCGGGAACGCAGUGACAGGUGGUGCAUGGCUGUCGUCAGCUCGUGUCGUGAGAUGUUGGGUUAAGUCCCGCAACGAGCGCAACCCACGUCUUUAGUUGCCAGCAUUUAGUUGGGCACUCUAGAGAGACUGCCGGUGAUAAACCGGAGGAAGGUGUGGAUGACGUCAAAUCAUCACGGCCCUUACGUUCUGGGCUACACACGUGCUACAAUGGCCGGUACAGAAAGCAGCCACUAUGCGAAUAGGAGCUAAUCUUCAAAGCCGGUCUCAGUUCGGAUCGCAGUCUGCAACUCGACUGCGUGAAGCUGGAAUCGCUAGUAAUCGG
rnacentral:rRNA from 1 species